AAACUAAAUGUCUAAUCAAAAUAAUUCUUGUUAUUAUUGUAUACCUAAUAAUCACCAUCAACAAAAUAAUUUGCAACCAGUUAGAAGAUCCAGAAACAGUCUUAUAAAUAUUUCAGUACUAACUGCAGACAUCAGUUAUGUUCAGAGGAUCAUAAUGAGACAUACUAAGACAAACAUAAUAGAUGACCAAUAAUACAUUAUUGAUUUUUUUUAUAUGAAAUGAAUUUAUUUUAACCUCUUUAUUGAGUCUUCAAAAUAUCAUUAAAAUC
rnacentral:sRNA from 2 species